GAUCUAUCCUUCGGACCACAACAGCAACAACUUCUCCACUCCUUCCACUCCUGUGGGCUCCCCUCAGGGCAUUGCAACAGGUGCAGCACAGUGGUCGAGAGCUUCUGGCCAGGCUGCUCUGUCUCCUAACUAUGAGGGUGGACUACAUGCACUG